UUCACAUAGCAGACACUUUUAUCCAAAGCGACUUUUAUCAUUGUUAUAAUUUAUUCAUUUUUUAAAAUAAUGUUUCCGUAGGUUAUAAAUAGAUUGAUCCUUCUCGAAUGUGUUUUAUCUUCUUACAUCUGUUUUGUCAUUUCUCUCAUAGCUCGCUAGGUGUACAAAUACAGUAACCUGCACCUGAACAAUGUGUUAUUUCUUUAAAUCUCAUAAAACAGGCGGGUGGAGACUAAUAGAAGGCUGUUUGAAAAAGCAGCACACACUUUGAAGGAAACGUCCCUCCUCUGAACAUCUUCACCUCUCUGCUCCAGAGGACCUGACAAGAAUACUUUCUGCCUAUUCUGAAACACAAAGAUGGCUGUAGCUCUCACUCUCCUUCUUGUUGGCUGUCUGCUCCCAGGUGCCCUGUGUGGACAGUUUGAGAGCAUUAUACCAAAGACUAUAGAGGUUCUGAAGGGAUCCUGUGUGACAAUCCCCUGCUCCUUUGACGUAGAGGAUCAAUAUAAUGUCAACUUAAACAACACUUGUAAAGCAUUAUGGAGAGAAUCUUAUAGGGGACCUGUUGUGUUUGAUAGCAGUAAUCCACAACAGAAAGGA